rnacentral:rRNA from 1 species
UACAGAGGUGGCAAGCGUUGUUCGGAAUUACUGGGCGUAAAGGGCGCGUAGGCGGCUUGGUCAGUCCCGUGUGAAAUCCCUCGGCUCAACUGAGGAACUGCACGGGAAACUGCCUGGCUUGAGUUCGGGAGAGGGAAGCGGAAUUCCGAGUGUAGCGGUGAAAUGCGUAGAUAUCCGGAGGAACACCGGUGGCGAAGGCGGCAUUCUGGACCGAUAUUGACGCUGAGGAGCGAAAGCCAGGGGAGCAAACGGG